rnacentral:rRNA from 1 species
UCGCCUGUUUAUCAAAAACAUCACCUCUAGCAUCACCUCGCCUGWKKYCAAAAACAUGUCUUAAAGUAUAUAAUUUUAAGUYUAAUUUGCUCCMUGAUUAAUAAAUUAAAUAGCUGCAGUAUAUUAACUGUACAAAGGUAGCAUAAUCMAUAGUUUUUUAAUUAAAAGCUGGAAUGAAUGAUUUAAUAAGGUAAAUAUUGUCUCAAUUUUAAUAAUUUUAUAAUUUUUUUUUUAGUUAAAAAACUAAAUUAAAUUUAAAAGACGAGAAGACCCUMUAGAUUUYUAUAUUUAUUUAAUUAAAUAAAUUUAAAAUAAUUUAAAAUUUAAUUAUAUAAAUAUUUGAUUGGGGAAAUUGUUAAAUUUUUUUAAUUUUAAUUUUUAUUAAAUAUAAAUUAAUAAAUAUUUGAUCYUGAAUUUUUAAAAUAUAAGAAUAAAAUACCUUAGGGAUAACAGCGWAAUUUUUUUGAAAAGAUCAUAUUGAUAAAAAAGUUUGCGACCUCGAUGKUGAAYUAARNAUAAAAUUUUARYGAASAAAUWAAAA